AGUUGCUGUAAUCCUGUAAAUGUGACCUCCAGCCCAGCCUUUCUGGGUACAUCUGCUCUGUGAGUUGGAAGAAUGAUCCAAGCUAUUGACAACCUGAGCUGGUGAGGCUUCCUCACACAGCAUCACACAGAUGCAGUCUAGCCACACCACAGACAAGAAGAGAGUCUCCUGCAGCUGGUUAUGGCAGCCAGAACCAGCAGCUGGAUGGGGUGAGGGAGAGCCUGUUCCAUGCAGGGCACAGCCUGCUUGGUGUCCCAUAACAUCUCUUAAAUCCCUUUUGUCCCAGCUGCACCCGUGCACAGAUCAGUAAGGAAGUUAGAGCUGGCAUGAGUUACACAGGAGGGUGAAAAGUCACAUAAAUGUGUCAGUAAGUAGGAGUAGGACAAGCAGGACUAAUUUUUUGCAUGUUUUUGUACUUCCCAGGGUGUUGCUUUUCUCAUUAUACCACACUCUGCUAGUGGGAGUAUCCCAUUAAUGCAGCCUUUCUCCAAAGGAUCAGGCCUGAUCCUCCCUCUCAGGUGGGCUGGUGUCCUUCUGUUAACUUCUGAAUGGGAAAGCACUGGGGGUUUCCUACUUGCCACAUGUGGGGUUUGUGCCUCACUCCAGGCAGGUACUGUGGCUCACGAUGCGUUCAUACUGAGUCUGGCAAAGAGAGUCUGUCUUUGUGUCACUGUGCCCUCUGUAAGACUUUAUGUGAUGAUAAUCCUUGGAGAGAUCCCUGCCACCAGCACUUAAAGCUACAGAAAGGACAAACUGAAAGGCUGAACCAGGAACCAGGAGCGCAGCUCCAGGCCACUGACUGAAUCUGGACCACACGAGUAGUGACAGAAAGUUGUUACUGCCUGGCAGCCAAGGGGAGAAGAGGUGCUGCUCCAUCCCACUCAGGUUUUUCAUGGGCUGCUGACCACAAUACAAAGACCCUGGACUGAACAAUGUGCACAGAUUAAUCAUCUGACUCUGAUCUGGGAAUUAUCCCUUUUGAUCAGAGUAGAUAAGCAAUUGCCCUGCAUGGCAAGCAGUCUUACCACUGCCCUUUCUGUAUCUAUCAUAUGAAAAAUGAAUACAGGCAGACCUGUAGCCAGUCCAAAUUGUCAGAGUUGGGGUCAUUGAUUUCAGAGUGAUUACCAUUGCUGAUGCUGCUGAGGAGCUGGCCCAACAGGGUUUAUACACAUUGAUGGAAGCCAGAUUUUUCAUGUGCAUUACAUAUACUUCUUAUACAUGCCAACUGUAGACAUAUAUAUAUAUAUAUAUAUAAUUGUAUAUAUAUAAUUAUUCCAUCUUUUAAAGUUAUAAAAUAUGUUUCUCAAAUUACUUGCAAUCAAUCAAUAUCCAAUGCACUGGAUUCUUUUCCACCCUCUUACUAUACCAGAUUUCAUUAAUUUUACAGCAAAUUGGAGUAAAACACAUGGGUUUAUAUUUUUGAGAGUGCCUUAUGGUAUUUUUGCUAGGAAACUACUUUCAAAGUUGGGUAAGGGUUUUUUUCUUUUCUUUUUCCUGUGUAUUCAUUAAUCCAGUCUCAAAUUCUGAUAUUUCUGUCCUUUUCAACCUUUGAUAGAUAAGAACAGGACACACUAUAGUACAUUCACAAUUCCCAUUUCACUGCAAACUUUUAACUUGCUUCUAUAAGUCACAUAACUCCUUCUGCUGCUAGUGGAAGGUAUGUGUCCCCAACAAAUGAUAUACCAGGUAUUAGUGGUGUUAAACUCUAAGAACUCUAACUUAAAAGAAGUACACCUGUCAUUACAUAUUUCAAGACAUGGGCAGAACACCUUUUUUAACUGUCUCGAAGGAAGCAGCAUGGGUGCAGUCUCAUGCUUAAGAACAGCCAUUUCUACUUCUUCACAUCACAUGAACAGCAAUAAACAGCUGGUGUGAUUAAUUAAAUGAACCACAACCUUCUCCAACCUGAUUUGAGUAUUUAGUUAGUCAAAGCAGUUCUUUACUUCCCAUGUGACAAAGCAUCGGCAGUUCCUAUAAUUAAUAAAAAAGCAAUAAUAAAUAAUUUUGAGAAUA